AAAAAAAGAGUAGUAGAAAAAGAAUGGUUUUCUCUCUCUUCUCUCUCCUCAUCUUUCAGAGAGAGCAAAGCAGCUUCAAUUUUUUUGACCGACAAUGACUGGCUUUAUCAGCGGUGUUUGGUCGGCUUCUCCUCCGGCAUCGCUGGCUUCCUUAGAAGCGUUGACUGGCUCAGCUUCCGGCAUCGACCGACUACUUUUAGCGGUGGUGGCUGGCUUAUCUCCCGAGAGCAAGAUAUUCUCUUUCUUGUUUCGUCGGGCUUUUUUCUGGCGUCUUUUGCCGGCUUUCUCUCCGGUUUCUUGACCGGAUUUAGAUUUGUUCUGUUUUUUUUCUUCUGCCUGCAGUUCAAAGAUUGAUGAACCCUAAAAGUUAAAAAGAUGUUGAAAGAAGAAGAAGAAGAAGAAUUGCACUUAGUGGAGUCAAAUUCUCAUCCAAGCUACAAUUAGAAUUUUGCCAUUAAUCCUUUGGGCGACGAGUGAGCUAUGCCAAUUGAACAAGUUUUCUGGUGUUUCGGCCGGAAUUGAAGCUUCUGACGUCGACUCCCUUUUCUUCCAGUUUCUACGUGUAUUUCAAACAUGUUUUCCACUGACACGUGUUUUCUAUGCGGCGCACAACAAUCUUUUGUUCUCUUCCUUAAGUUUAGGUUUAUUCAUUUGGGCUUUUGGAUUGUUGUUGUGUUUUGGGCUCGUUUAUUUUAGUCUUUAUGAAUUAUUGGUAUGUUACUUUUGGCUCUAUAAUAUCAAUAAAACACUAUUGUGAC
rnacentral:sRNA from 1 species